rnacentral:rRNA from 1 species
GUCUUUUUAGUUAUUUAAUAUAAAGUCUGACCUGCCCACUGAAUUUAUUUUGAAGGGCCGCAGUAUUUUGACUGUGCAAAGGUAGCAUAAUCAUUAGUCUUUUAAUUGAAGGCUGGUAUGAAUGGUUGGAUGAGGUACAAGCUGUGUCAUAAAGAUUAAUUUUUGAAUUUACCUUUUUAGUCAAAAGGCUAAAAUAAAAUUAAAAGACGAGAAGACCCUAUAGAGCUUUAUAUAAUUUAUAUUUAAAUUAUUAAGAUUUUUCAAAUUUAAUUAUUUUAUUAUAUUUUGUUGGGGUGACAAUAAAAUUUAUAAAACUUUUAUUUUUAUUAACCAUUUAUUUAUGAUUAUAUGAUCCAGUUUUAUUGAUUAUAAAUUUAAGUUACCUUAGGGAUAACAGCGUAAUUUUUUUUGAGAGUUCUUAUCGACAAAAAAGAUUGCGACCUCGAUGUUGGAUUAAGAGUAAUUUUGGGUGUAGAAGUUCAAAGUUUAAGUCUGUUCGACUUUUAAAUUCUUACAU